AGCUUUUUAGUUGAAUAUUUUUUAACUCAAAUUUGACCUGAAAAGUUGUUUGAGUUAUUUAAGUUUGACUUGAGCAGAGUAACAAUUAGUAAAAUAUUGAUUCAAGCAUUUGCACCCCUGCCUACAAAUAGUAAAAUAUGGCUAAUAAGAAAUUUGUCCUUUGAGUCAAGAGAAAUUCUUGGUGUACCACUUAGAAAAUCUAAUGUGGAGUGCACUACUUCACUCUAUUGGACCAUAUAGCUAUCAUUUUUCAAUGCAUAUUUAAUGUCUGUAGUUCUACUUUUUCGUUUGAAAUUUUAAAUGAUAAAAAUACUUCUUUCCUUUUGAAAAAAUUAUAGCAUCC
rnacentral:lncRNA from 1 species